rnacentral:misc_RNA from 1 species
UACAGAGACUCCAAACGUUAUUCGGAAUCAUUGGGCUUAAAGGGUGCGUAGGCGGUGCAGUAAGUCGGGUGUGAAAUCCCUCGGCUCAACCGAGGAAUUGCGCCCGAUACUGCUGUGCUCGAGGGAGACAGAGGUGAGCGGAACUGAUGGUGGAGCGGUGAAAUGCGUUGAUAUCAUCAGGAACACCAGUGGCGAAAGCGGCUCACUGGGUCUCUUCUGACGCUGAGGCACGAAAGCUAGGGUAGCGAACAGG